UUGUUGUUGUUGUUGCUAUUUCUUGGGCCGCUCCCGAGGCAUAUGGAGGUUCCCAGGCUAGGGGUUGAAUUGGAGCUGUAGCCACCGGCCUACGCCAGAGCCACAGCAACACGGGAUCCGGGCCGCGUCUGCAACCUACACCACAGCUCAUGGCAACGCCGGAUCGUUAACUCACUGAGCAAGGGCAGGGACCGAACCCGCAACCUCAUGGUUCCUAGUUGGAUUCGUUAAACACUGCGCCACGACGGGAACUCCCCAGGAUUGUUCUUUUUUAUAACCUUUUAUUUUAAAAGAUUUUUUUCUUUAAAACUUUUUAUAUUGAAGGAGUUCCCUGGUGGCUCGGUGGGUUAAGGGUCCAGCUUUGUCAGUGCCGUGGCUUGGGUCACUGAUGUGGCAUGGGUUCUAUCCCUGGCCUGAGAACUUUUGCCUGCUGCAAGUGUGGCUCCCUCCCACACAAACAACAGAAAAGGAAGAUGGAAAGUUCUUUGAAAAGUAAAGUGUGCCUAUGAAGUUGUCAGUUGGAAUCUCCUUCCUGACAUUAAGCAGAGCACCUCAGGAAGUGAUGGAGAGGCAGGUUUUCCUGGAGAGUCCUUAGAAGAGAGGCAUGCAAUUACCUGUGGAAGUGUUUUUGAAAAAGGGACUGGUGGCCAGGUAGGGAAGCAGAGACCUUGUUUAUGAGUGGGACGCAGCAUUCUGGGACUUAGGACUGGAGGACCAGGCUUCUUUGUGAGGCCAGAGUUGACAGAAAGCUUUUGAGCUUGGCCCUUUUCUUUCUCCCUUGCUGCCCUGGCUGGAUUGCCUGUAGUAUCACCACCAAGAGACUGAAAAACAAAGCAGAAGAAAAAAACCCCCAGCUAAGGCCAAAAUGAAUUUGUAGUGUAACAAUAGGGCAGCAGGGAUCAGCAGUACAGCAGACUGCCUGUGAGUGUUUCUUCACUCCUCAGUCCCCUCUAGGCCCUAAAAAAGAGAAAUAGAGAAAGACAAAAAAGAAAAAAAAUCAUUCUUAAGAGGAAAUCAAGGGAGUAGGGGGUGUGGCCUGUAGUCACCUAGCUGGAGCAGAGCAACAUAAGAGGAUAGACUACCACACUAGAAAGUCUGGGCUCUGUUCCUGGGCAUAUCAUGCCUCCUGCUUAAAUUCAGCAGGACUAACACAGGCUAAGCCUCGGGCUUUAGCGCCUUCUCCUUUGUGGCUUUCUAGUCUGAAUAGCUGAGACCCCUGUGGGAUGGACACAAAGUAAACACUCCUAUAAAGAUGUGUACACCAUAAAAAUUUAGCAGGAAUCCGAAUCAUUGAAGGUGAACAUCAAGAUUUAAAUAAGUAUAAUUUCUCAAAGAUAUAAAGAAGAAUAAUGGUAAUAAACUUUUUUUUUUUGUCUUUUUUAGGGCCACACCCACAGCAUACGGAGAUUCCCAGGUGAGGGGUCUAAUGGGAGCUGUAGCUGCCGGCCUAUGCCACAGCCACAGCAACGCCAGAUCCGAGCUGUGUCUGCGACCUACACCACAGCUCACGGCAAUGCCGGAUUGUUAAUCCACUGAUCGAGGCCAGGGAUCGAACCCACAACCUCAUUGUUCCUAGUCAUAUUUGUUUCCCCUGCGCCACGACAGGAAUUCCAAGAAUAAUGGUAAUAAACUCGUAAGAGGAUUUUUUUGCACCAAAACACUUAACAGUUGUCCUCAGUGCCCUGCAUAGCUUGCUCUGCCACCUCAAAUAUUUGCACAGAUAUUAUCUUAGUGUGGCCUACUGACCAGAUGAUUUAAAGUUAUAUCCCCACAUCAAGCUGUAUCCUAAUCUCUGCUUCAUUUUUAUUUUUUUUUCGCUUUAUAGUGCCAUACCUGUGGCAUAUGGAGGUUCCCAGGCUAGGGGUCGAAUUGGAGCUGCAGCUGCUGGUCUACACCACAGCCACAGCAACACGGGAUCUGAGCCGAUCUGCAUCCCACACUACAGCUCACAGCAACACCGGAUCCUUAACCCACCAAGUGAGGCCAAGGAUUGAACCCACAUCCUCAUGGAUACUAGUUGGAUUUGUUUCUGCUGAGCCACGAAGGGAACUCCUCUGCUUUAUUUUUAUCCACAGAACUUAUCACCUUGUAACGUGAUAAUACAAUUUUUCUCUCCAGUCUCUUUUCACUAUUUAUUUAUUUAUGUUUAUUUAUUUUUGGCCAUGUUCCCAGGCCCCAAGAUCCUUAAUCUACUGAGUCACCAGGGAACUUCUGUUUCUCCCUCUAGAACAAAUUCUCCAUGAGGUCAUUUGUCUGUAUCUUCAGCACCUAGAAUGUGGCCUAACUCAUAGUUGGGUAUUGAAUCAAUACUUGUUGAACUAGAUGAAUAAGUGGAGAAGUAUAGAAGAUACAGGAAGUAAGAAUAAGGAAUUAAUCUAUAAAAUUAUCAUCUAAAAAAGCAAGGACAACAAGUAGAAAGGAGGGGAGAGAAGAAGGACAAAAAAAAAAAAAAAUUCAAAUCAACCUGAACCUAAAAUAGUAAAUGAUAAGGAUGGAGUGAGGAUGCUGGGGGUUGGGUACUGGGAUUAAGAGCUUGAGAGCCUGUUACAGUGCCUGGUGUAUAGUUGCAGGUGAGCAACCGUAAGAGGCCACACACCCCUGAAGGCUUGGUUGGAGCAGCCUUGGUUCCUUACCACAUGGGCCUCCUGUAGGGUUGUAUCAUGCUCCUCCAGGAGCAGCAAUCCAAGAGAAAGGAACCAAGAGAGGCCACUGUCUUUUUGUAACCCAGUAUCAGAACUGACCUCCCAUCACUUCUGUGUCUUACUUGCUAGAAUCCAGUUGUUAUACAAGUGGGUUAAAGAUGGCCUCUGUAUGUGGGCCCCUAGGUUGUUUACUUUCUUUACAGCAGGCUGUGGCCAUGAGCUUAAGCCCACAUGCACCAAAAUCAAAUUUUCACAUAUCCAUUAACUUUAAAUAUAGACCAAAUAAGUCACAGAUGCAGCUCAGAUUCAAUCCCUGGCCCAGGCACUUCCAU
ensembl:lncRNA